GACAGAGGGUGCAAACGUUGUUCGGAAUUACUGGCGUAAAGGGCGCGUAGGCGGCCAGCGCAAGUCAGUUGUGAAAUCUCCGGGCUUAACUCGGAAAGGUCAACUGAUACUGCGCGGCUGAGAGUGCAGGAGGGCAACUGGAAUUCUCGGUGUAGCGGUGAAAUGCGUAGAUAUCGAGAGGAACACCUGCGGCGAAGGCGGGUUGCUGGGCUGACACUGACGCUGAUGCGCGAAAGCCAGGGGAGCGAACGGG
rnacentral:rRNA from 1 species